rnacentral:rRNA from 1 species
UGCAAGUCGAACGCUUUGUCUUUAACUGAUAUGACGAGCUUGCUCUGAUUUGAUUUUAUCUGACAAAGAGUGGCGAACGGGUGAGUAACACGUGGGUAACCUACCUCUUAGCAGGGGAUAACAUUUGGAAACAAGUGCUAAUACCGUAUAAUACCAACAACCGCAUGGUUGUUGGUUGAAAGAUGGUUCUGCUAUCACUAAGAGAUGGACCCGCGGUGCAUUAGCUAGUUGGUAAGGUAACGGCUUACCAAGGCAAUGAUGCAUAGCCGAGUUGAGAGACUGAUCGGCCACAAUGGGACUGAGACACGGCCCAUACUCCUACGGGAGGCAGCAGUAGGGAAUCUUCCACAAUGGGCGCAAGCCUGAUGGAGCAACGCCGCGUGUGUGAUGAAGGGUUUCGGCUCGUAAAACACUGUUAUAAGAGAAGAACGGCACUGAGAGUAACUGUUCAGUGUGUGACGGUAUCUUACCAGAAAGGAACGGCUAAAUACGUGCCAGCAGCCGCGGUAAUACGUAUGUUCCAAGCGUUAUCCGGAUUUAUUGGGCGUAAAGCGAGCGCAGACGGUUAUUUAAGUCUGAAGUGAAAGCCCUCAGCUCAACUGAGGAAUGGCUUUGGAAACUGGAUGACUUGAGUGCAGUAGAGGAAAGUGGAACUCCAUGUGUAGCGGUGAAAUGCGUAGAUAUAUGGAAGAACACCAGUGGCGAAGGCGGCUUUCUGGACUGUAACUGACGUUGAGGCUCGAAAGUGUGGGUAGCAAACAGGAUUAGAUACCCUGGUAGUCCACACCGUAAACGAUGAGUGCUAGAUGUUCGAGGGUUUCCGCCCUUGAGUGUCGCAGCUAACGCAUUAAGCACUCCGCCUGGGGAGUACGACCGCAAGGUUGAAACUCAAAGAAAUUGACGG